UGGGGAAUUUUGGACAAUGGGCGAAAGCCUGAUCCAGCAAUGCCGCGUGUGUGAAGAAGGCCUUCGGGUUGUAAAGCACUUUUGUCCGGAAAGAAAUCCUUGGCUCUAAUACAGUCGGGGGAUGACGGUACCGGAAGAAUAAGCACCGGCUAACUACGUGCCAGCAGCCGCGGUAAUACGUAGGGUACAAGCGUUAAUCGGAAUUACUGGGCGUAAAGCGUGCGCAGGCGGUUUGCUAAGACCGAUGUGAAAUCCCCGGGCUCAACCUGGGAACUGCAUUGGUGACUGGCAGGCUAGAGUAUGGCAGAGGGGGGUAGAAUUCCACGUGUAGCAGUGAAAUGCGUAGAGAUGUGGAGGAAUACCGAUGGCGAAGGCAGCCCCCUGGGCCAAUACUGACGCUCAUGCACGAAAGCGUGGGGAGCAAACAGGAUUAGAUACCCUGGUAGUCCACGCCCUAAACGAUGUCAACUAGUUGUUGGGGAUUCAUUUCCUUAGUAACGUAGCUAACGCGUGAAGUUGACCGCCUGGGGAGUACGGUCGCAAGAUUAAAACUCAAAUGAAUUGACGGGGUCAUAGCUGUUUCCU
rnacentral:rRNA from 1 species